UAAGCUUUAAUUUGGUGAUCUGUACUCAUUUGAAUUCUUCACAUUUCAUUAUAGUUGUUUCAGCAUCCACACUUGAUUCCUUUGUGAAAGCUUAUGGUGAGGUUUCCAGUGCUGAAGUUUUUGUGAGUUUGUGUAACGUUUUACUCCGUGGUUUAACAUACAAAUUUCUGGAGUAACUCUUCCCUUCCCAAGGUAAGGAUUUUCGACAACUUGGUUAGGUGGUGUUUGUUACGAUGACCUGUUUCAUUGGCCCACAAACUCCUCUGGUAUUGAAGUAGGCUUAGUAGGCUUAAAUUAUGACGUUUCAUAUUGAGCACACCAUGAUAUUAAAUUGAUAGUGAGGAUAUGAUGUUGAUCUAUAGUUCAUGAUAUUAAAUUGAUCGUGAGGACAUGAUGUUGAUUUAUGGUUUUGAUUUAAGUCUUGAUAUGCUUUUCUCAGAAUCAAACUUCUCUUGACUUUUCUUAGGUGUUGCAGAAUAUGGUUUUGAUUUAAGUCUUGAUAUGCUUUUCUAAGAAUCAAACUUCUCUUGACUCUUCUUUUACCCAUCAAGAUUUUGUUUUGUAUAAUUUUUUGAUAUAAUUCCUUGUUUGGUAAUCCAG
rnacentral:lncRNA from 1 species